CAGUGGAUGAUCCAAAGGUUUAUUCGAGAAGGAGAACUUGCAAAUCCACUCUACUAAAUCUCGAACACCAAGAUAAUUGUAUGUUGGGAUUUCCUUCGAGAGAUCACUCAUUCUUGCUCCUAAAUCCUAAAGAUGCAGACAGCCAUAGUAAAUCCCUGCUCCAGCAAGUUCUAGAGCUUUACUUGGAAGAACUUCCUACCAUGAACUAUGCUGCAAAUACUGGAAAGAAAUCCCAAUUUCUUGAAAAAUGUACAACGAGUGG